CUUUUCGUCCCCCUUCCCUUUUCAUCCACGCAGCAGCCAGCCGCCGCAACGACGACGCCGAGUGAGGAGAAAAAAUCGCGUCGCCUUGUGGUCCGUCGCCGGCCGGGGCGAGUGCUGCGAGCCGGUCACGGCGGCAUUGUGGUGCCCCCGCGCUCUCUGCAGCAGCAGCGGCUGCGGUGGUCCCAUGCCGCUCUGCGCCCGCGGCCAUCCACCACAACUGGGCACUCCGCGUCCACCCGUCUCACCUCCGCCGUCGAGGACAAGAGGUACGGUGAGGCACCGGCCCGGGCGGAGGUGGCUGGCGAGACAGCGCCCGCUUGCGUGAUUGAGUUGCCGCCGUCGCACCUUGUGGACUUGCGGCCCCAGGUCGCUGGAGCCAGCCUCCCCGUGUUGUAGUGCUGCUCAUCCUUCAAGUACGACCCGCAAGCUUGGGCCUUCCGGUGGUAGGCGCUCGGCCAUCACGGCACAGAGCUCCUAUCUGUUUCUUACUCUCAGGGAUAAGUGAGAAUAUGUAGCUGAUUGUUGACUCCAACACUUGGAACCCUGCAUCAAUCGGGGGCGGCGUCGAACCAUGUUGGAGGGUCGGCGGCAUCGCACGGCGUGCUAUCCACACCCGGACUAUCGUCAGGAUCGCAAGCUGGGGCGUCCCAACCCUCGCCAGCAUCGCACACUGGACCGUCGCCGUGAGCCGCCUUCAGAGUUGUUUUUAUGUAUUGAGCUUGUGAACUUAGAAUAAUGUGUACUUUUGAACGUGUGGUUUGUAAUAUAUUCUGGAUUUUGUACAAAUUUGAUCGUUUGUGAUAUAUAAAUGUGGUAUGUGAUAUAUUAUUGUUGA